rnacentral:rRNA from 1 species
CCUACGGGCGGCAGCAGUGAGGAAUAUUGGUCAAUGGACGAGAGUCUGAACCAGCCAAGUAGCGUGAAGGAUGACUGCCCUAUGGGUUGUAAACUUCUUUUAUAUGGGAAUAAAAUGUUCCACGUGUGGGAUUUUGUAUGUACCAUAUGAAUAAGGAUCGGCUAACUCCGUGCCAGCAGCCGCGGUAAUACGGAGGAUCCGAGCGUUAUCCGGAUUUAUUGGGUUUAAAGGGAGCGUAGAUGGGUUGUUAAGUCAGUUGUGAAAGUUUGCGGCUCAACCGUAAAAUUGCAAUUGAUACUGGCAGGCUUGAGUACAGUUGAGGUAGGCGGAAUUCGUGGUGUAGCGGUGAAAUGCUUAGAUAUCACGAAGAACUCCGAUUGCGAAGGCAGCUUACUAAACUGCCACUGACAUUGAUGCUCGAAAGUGUGGGUAUCAAACAGGAUUAGAUACCCGUGUAGUC